CCACAGAGGGUAUAUAAUAUCCAUUCUUCCAGCAGGGGGCUCUCUCACCAUUAGAAGUCUAGAUGGGAAAAGAUAAAAAAUGAUCCACUCAGUUGUUCAUUGGAUUCAUUUAACUCACUCACCAAAAUAUGAUUGAGUUCCUGCUAACUAUCAAAUCCCAUUACUUUUCAGGGAUACAGUAGGGAGGACUUCAUUCUCAGGGAACUUAGAAUCUAGUGUCUAAUUUUUAGCUGCUUCCACAAGAAAAAAUCGUCACUUCCUGAGUAAAAGCUGUUAUUACCAGGACAUCCAUUUGAAGAGGAGGUGAUUCUACUUGCUGAGAAAAUUGCGCUGUUGUUUUCCUUCCAAAUGAAAAUGAUAUUAUUGCAUCUUAUGGGAGAAAAUAAUUUUUACAACUUGGAUUAUCCACUUGAAUGAAUGCUGUCAGUAUAAAAGAGAAGAUUGGUAUUCCUUUAUGGACCACUAGAACAUCAACCUCUGAACAUACUCAAGAGCUGGAAACCAACCACAUACUCACCUUACUGUCAGCGUGUCAGGGGAGAGUUUCGGAGGCUCACAGUGACAUAUGCUUUGGUCAAAAAUAAGUCACAUAUGAAGACAGCUUCAUGUGGUGAAAAUCGCAGAGUUGGAAGUUAGAAAACAGAGUUCUAAUUAUAAUCUCACCAUCCACUAUUGUGG